rnacentral:rRNA from 1 species
AUGAACGCUAGCGACAGGUUUAACACGAUGCAAGUCAGGGGUAACAGGGUAGCAAUACCGCUGACGACCGGCGCACGGGUGAGUAACGCGUAUGCAACCUGCCUAUAACUGGGGAAUAGCUCCCUGAAAGGGAAUUAACACCGCAUAAUACUAUUGAUUCGCAUGGAUUAGUAGUUAAAUGUAGCGAUACAGGUUAUAGAUGGGCAUGCGUGACAUUAGCUAGUUGGUGAGGUAACGGCUCACCAAGGCUACGAUGUCUAGGGGUUCUGAGAGGAAGGUCCCCCACACUGGUACUGAGACACGGACCAGACUCCUACGGGAGGCAGCAGUGAGGAAUAUUGGUCAAUGGGCGCAAGCCUGAACCAGCCAUGUCGCGUGCAGGACGACUGCCCUAUGGGUUGUAAACUGCUUUUAUAGUAGAAGAAACACAUCUACGUGUAGAUGUCUGCCAGUAUACUAUGAAUAAGCAUCGGCUAACUCCGUG